rnacentral:lncRNA from 1 species
UUAGCCCUAAACCAAUAAAACUCAUCACAAAACAAACCCUAAAAAAUCAUUACAGCCAGCCACCAUUUUUAGACGAUCUUCUUUUUCUUCCACAUUUCUUCUUUGUUGUGCUCUCUAAAUCAGGCCGUCAUGGUUCUUUGGUUUUUCCAUCCCCUGAUAAAGUAUUUCCUUGAUAAGUGAAUUUUCUCACUGCUUUGAUCGCUUCUCUAUUGAAUCGACCCAACUUUUUGAAAUACAUUCCCAUUUUAUUCAUCCCUAUUACUUUGAAACUUCCAAAAACCCUAAAUCUUUCUCAAAGGAGAUAGUCACCCCCCUUUUUUCAACAAAUUUUGCUGGAGAAAUAUAAUUAAUCAAAGCCUUCCCUGUCAAUUUCAACAGCCCUUGCUACCGCACUGGAUAGGCCAGAUCUAAGAUAAGUAUUUUCAUUUCCUUUUAAUCUUUCUUUUACUAAGAUAUAAGCAACUCUAUUCAUUUGUUUCCUUGCACGUUGAAAAAAACAAGUAACAAAGUUACUACAUAAUCAUUUAGCAUCAACAAUGUACGCUCUAAUUUCUGAUCUGUCUUCCUCCCGACUUUUUACUUUUCUAAUGAUAGUUAACGCAUUUUCCUCGACUUUAACUCGUAGGAAUCCAGAUUCUGCCCCAAAUUGAAUCGCUUGUACGCACGCGAGAGCUUCUGCUGCAAAUGUUGUUGGUAUGUGUUCAUUUCUGUAAAUUUUUGUUUUUAAGGCUUAACCUAAAGAGUUUCUUAUAACAAUCCCUAUACACGAUCUAUUGUUCUGUUUUUCAAAUGCAACAUCAAAAUUGAUUUUGACAUUCAUCUCAUUUGGUGGCCUCCAAUUCUCAUUAGCAAUUAUGUUGACAGGUAUCAUUCUAUAUACCCAUUCAAUUUCUUGUAUAUAGUCUAAAAUGAAUUGGGCAACUCUCGCUUCUGUUUGUGCCUUAUUCUUAUGUAUUAGCAAAUUUCUUGCUGACCAUAAGCCCAAUACAGUACAUAUAAUGCUUUUAAUCUGUCUGUUUCAUUUUUUUGAAUAAAUAACUGAUCUAGUCCUUAAAUUGUGCCUGAUUUUGUUCCAGGGGCCAUCCAAUUCCUAGCAUUUCCCAUAUUCCUGCUGCAAAAUAGCAGUCUUGAAAGACAUGCUCCCUGGUUUUUUCAUUAUUUCUGCAUCUUAGGCAAGUCGCAGAAUAUCAUAUCUUGCGUUGAAGCAAAUUAGAGAAAGUAGGAAGGAAAUUAUUUAAGGUCUUCCAUACUAGGAUUAUUAUUUUAGUUUGCAAGUUUUCCUUCCAUAAUUCGUUGUACAUGGGUUUGUAAGAAAUUUGAUUUUGCUGUAUGUUUGUUGAAAUUUUCGAUUGUAUUAAUUUUUUGUACCCACUGCGUACUGUAUAAACUCCCGAAGCCUCUCUUCUCCAUAUGAAUUUAUCCAAUUCUUUCUCAAGUGGGAGGGGAAUACACAAAAUUCUUAGUGUGUUGUCUUGGUGGAAGGUACGUUGAAUAAACUCUUGCUUCCAUCGGUUUGUAUCUUGCUCAAUUAGUUUAAAAACUAACACAAGAUUUUAGGUACUGCCUGGAUUUUGAAUCUUGUAGUCAACUGAGCACGGAACCCAUGCAUCAUUCCAGAUUUGUAUUUGAGUUCCCGAUCCAACUCGCCAGCCCAUCCCUUUCUCAAGAAGUCAUUUUGCCGACCAAAGGCUUCGCCAGGUAUAUAACAGUAAAUUCUCUAACCUUGCAUGCAUAAAGUCUGAAUUUGGGCAAUAUUUGGCUUUUAAAGAUUUGGCUAAUAAUGAAUCCGGAUAAUAAAUCAAACGCCAACUCUGUUUAGCUAGCAUUGCCACAUUAAAUUUUGAAAGGCAUCGAAAUUUUAUUCCUCCAUCCUUUUUUAAUUCACCAAGCUUACUCCAUUCACACCAGUGUAUGCAACGUUUUUCAGAACUUUUUUGCCACUAGAAUUGACUCAUAAUAUUUUCAAAAUCUUUGCAUAAUAAUUUUGGCAGCAGAAAACAUGCCAUUGUGUAGGUUGGAAUAGCCUGUAAAACUGUUUUUAUAAAGACCUCCUUUCCUCCCAUUGACAAGAAUCUAGUGCUCCACCCUCAAACCUUACUAAUCAUCUUGUCCUUUAAAUUUUGGAAAGAUAUUUUCUUAUCCUUUCCAACCAUAUUUGGUAAUCCUAAAUAUUUUUCUGGAUUUUUGAAGCUUUGAACACCCAAUAUGUUAGCUACUUGUUCCCGAAUUUGCUUAGAGACAUUUGUACUAAAAUAUGCCAUUGACUUUUCGAAAUUAAUACAUUGCCCUGAGCAUACCUGAUACUCUCGUAAAACAUCUUUUAGAUUAUUAGUUACUCUAAUUGUUGCGUUCUCAAAAAGAAUGCAAUUAUUUGCAAACAAUAAGUAUGUAAUUGGGGACCUCUUCGGCAAACCUUUGCUCCCUUUAUAGAGCCUUCCCUAGCUGUAAGCCUCAUCAAAGAUGAUAAUCCUUCACUAAAAAUUAAAAAUAGAUAUGGGAUUAAAGGAUCACCUUGACGCAAACCCUCACUGGGCUGAACUUUUCACCCCUCACCCCAUUCAAACAAACAGAAUAUUUAGUUGUUUUUACACAUUUCAUGAUUAAAGACACAAAAGACUUUGCAAAUCCCAUUUUUUGCAUGACUUUUUUCCAAAUAAAGCCACUUCACCUUGUCACAUGCCUUACUCAUAUCCAGUUUUAAGGCUAAGCUCCUAUUAUUACCUAUUCUCUUUUGUUUUAAUGUUUGCAUUAAUUCAUAAGCCGAUAGAAUAUUAUCAGUGAUGAGUCUGCAUGGAACAAAUGCGCUUUGGGCCUUAUCAAUGCAUUUAUCAAGAAUUUGUUGGAGCCUAUUAGCAAUUGUCUUAGCGAUAAUAUUGUACAUAACUGUGCAUAGACUAAUAGGUUGGAAAUUCUUGAGAUUGGUAAGAUUUGCUACUUUCGGUAUAAGCUCAAUAUUUGUUAUAUUAAUACCAUCAAUCGGCUCUCUCUCAUUUAAAAUCUUGAGACAAAAAUCACCAACUUUUUUUCUAGUAAUAUUCCAAAAUCUUUGGAAAAUAAAGCUGAAAAGCCAUCACAUCCAGCUGCUUUUGUUGGUCCCAUACUUUGAAGUGCUGAAAAAACUUCAUCACUAGUAAAAGCUUUACUUAGCAUAUCAUCCAUAGAAUCUGAGAUGUGUGUACCUAUUCCUGAAAAAAUGUAUUCAAGAUUACCAACACCUCCGGAAGAGAAUAGAUUUUCAAAAUAUGGUUUAGUCACCUCCUCCAUUGCUCUUCUAUUAGAAACUAACUGACCAUGUUCAUUCUUCAGUUCUUCAAUUCUGUUUCCUCUUCUUCUAUGGGAAGCAAAAUUGUGAAAAAAAUUUGUAUUCCUGUCUUCUUCUUUCAACCAAUUCAGCCUAGCUUGUUGCUCCCAAUAUUUCUCUUCUUUAUCAAUUUCCAAAUUUAAAUGGAUUUUAGCUUCGAUUAAGUCAGCCAAGUUGUUAGCCGUUCUUUCUAUUCCAUCAAAGUAUUCAAUACGGCCUAAUAGGUUUUCUGUCAAGCCUCUCCUUGACUUCCUGAUUCCCAUAGCCCACCUUUGCAAUCCUUUGCCAACCAAUGUUAAUUUCUCCAUUACUCCUCCAUUAGACAGUGUCCAAAGUUUUUUUACUUCCAUCUCACGCGAAUCUUCCAUAAACCACCAUGCUUCAAAUAUGAAUUUUACCAUUCUCUUAAACAUCUCUUCAAUUUUUGUUUGUAAAAAGAAAAGACAAUGGUCCGAGCAAGAAUGAGGCAAAUGUUGCAUUUUAAAUUUAGGGAUUAAUUCUAACCAAUUUUUGUUUGCAACUCCUCUAUCCAGUCGUUUUUUUAUGUUUGUUGUUGAAAGAUUACCACGUUCCCAUGUAAACUAUUUUCCUGCAUAGCCCACGUCUUCUAGACGACAAUCAUUAAGAACUUGACAAAAUUUUUCCAUUCGGCCUUCAUCCUUUGGUAAGCCCCCUUCCUUUUCAAAAGCAUAUAAAAUCUCAUUGAAGUCGCCACAAACUAACCAAUUUGACUCAUGUUCUCUCCCUAAUCUCCUUAGAAUAUCCCAACCCUCGCUUCUUCCACAAGCCUCCGAUGCAUCAUAGAAGUCGAUCAAUCUCCAAUUUACCCUAAUUUCAUUGUCCUCAAUAUUGACAUCAAUAUGAUGUUUGGAAAGAUUCUUAAAUUGAUUGUUACAUCACUUUUCCAACCAAGACUUAACCCUCAUCUCAUUUCCACUAUCGGAACAUCAAUACUAUAAGUAAAUCCACACCAUUGUCGAACACUUUCCAUUCGGGAAUUAUUUAACUGUCUCCAUAAAGAAGACAAUUUGAGGAUUAUAUGUUUUCAGCAUAUGUUGAAGUCUUUUAACGCCAUGUGGACUCCCUAAUCCAUAGACUUUCCAACUUAAAAUUUUCAUUGUGUCCAGUCGGCUUGCCUAUUGGUAGCCGCCAAUUUCUGAUUUUUAUAAUGGGUUUCUCUUCGUUCCCCUUGACCAUCCACAACUAUAUGACUUCCUGACCUAAGCCUCUUUUUUCUUUCCUCGUUCUCUAAUGGAAUCUCUUACAUAUCCUCUAUCAUAUCUUCCGUCUGUCCAUCACUUUUACCUUUAGCACUAAAACCCAGUUCUUGACUCAAAUUAAUAAUUUUACAAUCAUCUUUCUUACCAAUCCCCCUCCCAAAAUUAUUUCCUAUAUUAUCUUCCCGUAACCAGGCGCUUCGAGUAAUACUCGUCCUCCUAGGUUGAGCCCUAAGUGUAGUAUCCCAUCUAAAUUCCACUUCUCUUAAUCUUAUGUCAAUCCUUUUUUGACAAAAUUUGUCUACAUGUCCCAAACAUCCACAAAGAAAGCAAAACAAAGACAAUUUUUCAUAACGAAAUUUUACUAAAACCAGAUCUGAAUGAGGGAUCAAAAUCUUCUUUUUCCUCGAGUGGAUUUCUAAUAUCAAUCUGAACUCUAAUUCGCAUAUAGUUUCUAAAGCCUUGAUUAAGCUGUUCGGUGUCAUGUUUCAAAAAUUUGCCAAUAAAAUUUCCCAAUAAUUUUGCCACAUUAUCAGUAAAAAAAACCCGGUGGAAGAUUAUGAAUUUGUACCCAAAAAUCAGAAAAAACUAAUGGAACAGAACUCGGAUCCUCACCAUUUUUUAAUUUAUAAAGGAUAAAGAAAUGAUUAUUAAAAGUCCAAGGUGUUCCACUUAUUACCUGUUCCAAAUCAACCUCAUAGAAAAAUCUGAAUAAAUACAUUUUUUCUCCAAGUUCAGAGAUUUGAAUUCCCCCAACGGGUGCCAUAAAUUAGCCAUCUUAUUUUUCAUGGCCAAAAAAUUAACCUCAUUUGCUGUGAGGGCACAUCCAGCUAAGCAUAAAUCAUAUAUUGAUUGUUGAGGUCCUUCCUCUGCUGCAAAUUGAAGCCCUUCGUCUUCGUCGUCUUCUUCAUCCAGACUCAAAUUUGCCAAAUCAAUAUCCACUAAUGCCAUCUUCAAUCCUGUGCACUAUUUUCCAAUGAAAAAAAAAAAAGAGAACUUGAAAUUUAUUGUCGACAGAAAUUGCUAAUCACCUAAUCGAAAUCACAUUCAAAACCCUAGACUUUGCUAGCCAAGACCGUGCCACUCAUCGGACAGACUUAAAAAAACAAACAAACAAAUCUUUAAAGCUAAAAAAUAAAAAGUUUAACUCUUUAAAAAUAAAAAAUGAAUUAAAAUAUAUUUUAACUUUUAUAAUUUUACAGAAAAUGAUACUAAUUAUUUCAACAUAGAUGGUACGGACAGUUUGAAUCGACAUAUUAAAUUUGAUGAGGUAUUUUUUAGGCAGAGUACAAACCAGUCAGUUUUCUAUACUUCAUGCUUCCAACCACUGGGGACCACACAGAUUCCUCCGCAACCAAUACAUCAUUCGCAUUAAUCCAGUCCAAGAUGUUAUUUUACAUGAGAAAAACACUUACCAAUUCCUCUAUAGAUUAUUACCUUCAAAAUCAACACUCCUAGCUCAAUCAUAAACUUGGGAGUUUGAACAUUUUGAUAUCUUAUGCACAAGUCUGAAUUUAUGAGCUCUUUCACAAAUUUAAUAAUUAUUUAAAAUAUUACUCUUAAAUAAAUUUAGAUAAAUAGUUGUUCAAGUUCAUUUGAACUUAGACAGUCAUGUAUCUUUGUUCAUUGUAGAUAUUGUUUUUAAUAAUAUUUAAUAAUUUUUUAUUGUUUUAAAAUAAUUUUUUAUGUCCAAAUUUAUUUUGGGCUUGAGUUUUUAAAUAAUUAUUUUAUUUAGUAAUUUUUAAAAUAUUUGUCGAUGUGGCAAAUAUAGUACACCAUAUGUCAUUGUCGGGUUGUUUUGUCAAUCAUAUAUUACUUAAUCACAAAAAUAGGUAGAAUUUUUAACUGAAUCACCAAUUUUCUCUUUAAUCUAAAAUAUAAUUAUUAAUUUAUAUAUUUUUUAAAAAAUAUAUAUAUAAAAUACAAUCUAACUCUUAAUAUAGAGACUUUUAUUAUACUUAAUUUUCUCUCAUAAUUAUCAAAUUCAUUUAGAUUUAUCUACUCCAAUCCAUAGUUUUACUUGUGCAUCACUCGAAAAAGGAAAGUUUAAAAGGUUAUUUGUAUUUUAAUUCAUUAAAGCGACAAUCCAAAAAGAAAAUAAAUAAAGUAAACCUUCAAGUCUGAUAAUAUUGCACUGAUACAUAGCCGCUGGGACUAAAAUUUAGAGACGGAAACCUAUACCAAAUGAUGUUUUACUGGAAAGUGAUUUUGGUGGGAGAUGUUUAAGGUUUCCGAGUUGAUUCUAUAAUAUAAUAUUUAAUGUAUUAUCGAAUUUUAGACAUCAUAAAUAAAUAAAUAAUAAUAUAAUAUAUCAUCAUUUAAAAAAAAUAAAAAUGAGUGAAAAGUUUAUAAAUAAAUAAUAAUAAUUUAAAUAUAAUUAAAUAUUGUAAAUAAAUAUUAAUAAUUAUCGAGGUUUUAAGGUGUAAAUAUUUUUUAUCAUUAAUUAAUACUUAAUUAUGUUUAAAUAAAAUUGUUAGGAACUCUUAUAUUGUUUUCAUUUAAUGAUGAUAUGUCAUUUUUUCAGUAGAAAUAUAUUAUAUUAUUAUGCAUUGACGGUACAUAAGACUUAAAUAUUAUUCUCAUAGUUAUUUAAGUUGAGUCCAAGAAAUAUGGGUUUAAAUCUUUUCCUAGCUUGUCCAUAUAUGUACUAAUAGUUAACUCAAACUCAUUAGAACAAUCCACAUUAUUAUAUUAAAAAUUUUUAAUAAAACUAUUUAAUAAUUAUAAUGUAUUUUUUUUCUUAUUUGAUUUAUACUAUUACAUAUUUAGUUUUUAUAUAAUUUAAAUUACAUAAAAUUAAAAAACAACUCUAGCGGCCACUGGACCUUAAAUAUUAAUAUCCAAUCCUGAUUUAUCUUAAAACAUAUUGUUUAAGUUAUGUUUUUUAGCUGCAAGCCUUUGAGUUUUGAUAAGUAAACCCUAAUUCUAAGGUAUUAGAGAAAUAAAAACUGAAAAAGUCAAUUAAUUUUGCAACAAAAGAAUUUAUUCAUAGAAUUGAAUUUUCCUCGGUUCUGAACUUCGGAGCUUGAAUUGAAGGUGAAAACCCUAAACAAUUAACUGUUUGACACUGCUUUGUAAUGGAACAUUUUAUUUUUUAUUUUUUUUUGUUCAACGUAACGAAGGUAAACAGAUUGAAGGUGAAAAUCCUAAAAAAUUAAAUUUGAUUAAGUAUUUAUUAGCAUAAGGCUCCAACUUUUUUUAUAUAGGACACUUCCACCUAGUUUUGUACUAGAAUUCCUGUCAGUAAAAGCUUCCUUAGUUUGUAGCUCCAGUAAUGGAAUAAGAGACGUAUGUUUUGUCGGGCAACAGUGAGUUGCACAGGACGUUCGAAGUUUUACCAAUAAAUAUCUUUUAUAAUAUAUAUAUAUUUUGAAUGCGUCCAUGGAAGUUUCUUACACCAUGAUCAGCAUUUCACAUGUAUGUGUUCUCUUCGGUCCACUUGCCAAUUCUGUUGGGUAUGGGUCUCAUUGAGAAACCCAUAAUUUCUGCCACAUUUUAUUGUCUCUUUUUUUGUUUUGUCAAAAGCCAUUUUUUGAGGCUUUUAACAUGGGCAGAAAUUUUUGAGAGCCAAAAAAAUCUCAAAUUAAAACAGAGAGAAAGAGAGAAGAAAAUUUUAAUUUUUCAAGUUUGGUGCAGCAGUGAUCAACUCUUCGAUCGAAGGUUCAUCCAUGGUUCGAUUGAGCUGAUUUUUGGACAGCAGCUAGGCGAUAAGGUGUUCUUAACUUUGUACGGUCGGAUUUUUCAUCCGAGUCUUGUAGCUUCGAAAAUAUCCAUUUUUUCAGCAGCUGCGUUUUGGUGAUAUUCUCUCAUUUUUCUCUCUUUUGCUAAAGAUUACAUAUUGUUAGCCUUAUUGGAGUUGAAUGCUUGUUGUAGGCUUGAUAUUGUGAUCUUGUAGUUGAACAUUUGAUGAUAGUAGAGCUCUUGAUCGGACUCUGAAGUCCCGUGGUUUUUUACCCUU